ACUGCAAUAUCAGAGAACAAGUUGCUGAGACUCAUUUUACAGAAUGGAGAAGUGUUCAUCCCACUCCAGAAAGUCACCCCAGCUCAGAGCCACCCCUACUCAGAUUCCUGGGGUCCAUCAAUGACUCUGAGAGCCAGCCCUCCUGCAAUUGUUUCAGAAGGAAUGUGGAAAGGAUCCCACAUGAGCCUUUGGGAAACCUGUAGAUCACUCCAUCACUUCCGACUGGUUCUAGCCUAUCACUGGCUGGAGGAAGAGGAAGUAGAGUCUAACCCCCUGCCUUCCAAAGGCCCUUCCCCUCCCACACUCAUCCUCAGCCAAGAACAUUGGCUGAGGAUGCUGCUCUCCGGCACUUUGCUGAGUGAACUGGAGUUUUUAAGAAAACAGGCCAACAGGAAGUUCAAAAUAACAACGAGAAAGGUUUUCCUGUUACAUGGGGAAAUUAAACAUCUAAAAUAAACCAAAACUUGUCUUGGAUUAUUAUUGCCAUAUAUGAAAUCCCUGAGCUUACAGUAUAUCAUUUUUCUGAGGUAAAAUCAGAGGGCACUUAAAAAUGCCUUUUUUAAGGCUUAAAAAAUUUUUUUUGAGUAAAACAACUAACUCAGGCCCUGGUCAAUGACAGAGUUGAUUCUGAGCCCAGCAGCCUACUGCAAACUACCCUGUGUCCCAAUAAGUGACCCCAAGGCUAAUGGUCACCGACUUCCAUAUGUGUAGUUUUUUUACUUAUACCUGUCUAGUUCCACCAGAAACAAGACAAGUGUAAGUAACAUUCCUUGACAUCAGAGAGCACUGGUUGUACCUGCCACCCUCACCAAAGUGCCUGGUCCGUGGCAGGCACACCUCACAUUUUGUGCAGUGAAUACCUGUCCAAAUAAUCAGACGUGACCAGCAGAGCAGAUGACAACCACUGACCUGGCCUAAGAAAAUGCAUAGAUGUCUCUAGUCUCCCCAGUUCCAAAGGCGGGGCAACUGUCUGCUGCAACUCUGUCCACCAAUCUAGUCACUUUCAAUGUUCUUCUCAUACUUGCUGCCCCAGAUUUCAGGGCUCCGUUGAAUUUUAUGGUGCCUCCAAUGGGUCUUUUCCAAAUGGAUCCACAUCAAGAGCCUCAGCAAGUGAUGCUAGGCUGUGUCCAGGAAGAUGCCGGGACGCCAUGGCCGACCAGGCUGUCCCUAGCUCCCAACUGUCACCCGCAGGCUGCCCUCCUCUUUGGGAAGCUGCCUCCCUUCCUUCCGCCUCUUUUCUGAAGUUCCAACACCUUAGCGGGACUCCUUGCAUUUCCUUUCCUGCUUUUCACAUAAAUGUUCCUGAGCUCAGAUCAAUUGUGCGAACCUGGAUUAAUGGAUUAAACACUCAGCCUGGGACCAACCCCAAAGAUUUUAGGGUAUUGGACCUUGGGUCUACUGAUCAGGAAAUCCGAAGGCAAAGAGGUGUGGAGAGGAGGAAAGUAGAAGCCAGAAGCAGAUGCAGUCCUCUGCUAAGAUCAUUUCAGCACCACAAAUGAGAUCAGUUCCACCAAGGGAACACCACAUUUGCUUUCGCCUCAUUGAAAAGGACAGAGGCUCGGGACAUGGCUGGGACAGAUCACAUUGAUAGCCCUGAAACCACUACUUCUAACUCCACCCACUGGCACAUUUGGCAUCAUCUGCUGUGUUCUCAGCCAGAGAGAAUGACAAAUGGAGAACCUGGGCAGCGUUUAUAUGGAGCAGAGGGCUGUCUCCCACUUCCUCCCUCCGCUCUCCACCUCCCUCUCCCCAAAAGGAUCAAGUGGUCUCUUCUCACCCUCUAAAGGUCCAGUAUCUGUGCUUAGCUCUGCCCUCUAAAGUGUCUGUUUUCUUCUCUCUCUUCAUGACCAGUCAGGAAAUGCCACAAGGGCAGAGUCAAAGUGCGAUUGAUCCUUAUCUCCCAGAACCUAGGACAGUGUCUGACAAAGGACAGGUGCCCUCUAUUGAUGUAGGCAUCCAAUAAGCAUUUGUGGCAUUCAUAAAAAUAUAUCCAACAGACAAAAUCACAAGGUAACAAUAGCAGAAGGAUGCUAGGGCAGGACGGAAGCCUCUGCCAGUCACAGUUGGGAGCUGGGGGACAGGGAGCCAGAGGGCAGGGAAGUCUCAGAGGAGGAAAUGCUCUUGGCCAAUGUCUCUCACUGUUAACUGCUAAGAGGCAGCACUGUGAGAAUCAUCAGGGAUGUUACAAACACAUCUACCUCUUCUCACACCAUGCAAGAUUGUGAAGUGUAAGUGUAAGCAACAUUAGUCUCUUUUAGAAACAAACUUCAGUCACUCAGGAAGCCUGGCUAAUGGAGGGGCAGAAAACCCCUAGCACACCAGACAGCAUAUGUAGCAUGAGUGAUAAAUCACCUUUUAUUGUGUUGAGUAAACUGAACUUCAGGGGCAGCUUAUUACUGCAGCAUAACCUACUCUAUCCUGACUGACACAUGUUGUAGUGGAUAAACUCGGCAUCUCGCUCUUCAGUAGAGAGAAAAAGUGCAUCACAGUGACAUAUCAAAGAGGAACGCAGGCUUCCACAGAGGCUGCUGCAGGAUGGAAUCUGGGAAAAGACCUAGACCUGAGCUUUCAGGUAACCAGGGAGGUCAGCCAGGAGAAGAAAACAUUCUGUCUGUUCUGCUAAGUGACAAGACUUUAGGGGAAAUCUGGCCGGAAGGAAGAGGAGAACUCAGUGUCCUUAGAAACCCAACAAUCGGACUUGGGUUUGGAACAGACUGAACUCAGAGGACCCAGAAGUAUUCCAAGUUUGAGAUCUCCUCCUGGUUAGCUAUCCCACCUGUCAAGAUAAUUUUUUAAAAACUUCUGAUUUUGAAAUAAUUUGACUUGCAAAAAAUGUGGGGGAAAUGGUACAAGAGUUGCUCUAUGACCUAUGCCUUUCAAGAUUGCCCAAAUACUGACUGGUUUGGCUCAGUGGAUAGAGCGUCGG